GUGUGUGUGUGUGUGUGUGUGUGCGUGUGUGUGUCUGGUCAGAGCCGUCCAGUGUGUGUGUGUGCUUGUGUGUGUCUGGUCAGAGCCGUCCAGUGUGUGUGUGUCCCGUGUGUCUAGGAGCUGCUCACCACAGCCUCUAACGAACACUGAAGCCUUGUCAGGAAGACACAAAUCACAGGGCCAGCUCCAGCUCUCAUAAUGCGAUUUUACUGGGCAAAAUGACACUGCUGAUUCAAGGUGACUCUCCUAAUCCCUUUUGGCUCAUUGGAUGACUCCUGUGGUUAUGAGCACACCCCUUCCCACAUGGACUGAUCAUAUUUUGAUACCUCCAUUUACACCGGUGGCGCCGAAGACGUCCUAAAGGCGGCUUAUUCAAAAUCUUUGUUUGCUUUUUCCAAAUGGAAUUGCUCACUGGAUCAUUGCUGAAGUGCACAUUGCAAGAGUUUAACUUGCCAUUAGUUGUAUGGUUAGUUGGACUUGUAAUAAUAUGUACUGCAUUGGAUUGCUAUCCAUAAAUCUAUGAUAAAUAUUGAAGGAUUUCUCAAAACAAUUCUUCAUGAGGGCGGAACAUUGUAGCUUUUUAUUAUGCAAGGCACUUAUACAGCUACUGCAUUUUUUUUAUGAAUUCAAUAAUAACACCCUGUAAGUAGCGUAGGAGUUCAUUUGGUGUCACUAAACUGAUUUGACCGCUAUUUACCGUUCCAGGAUCAGGUCAUGUUAGCCAUCACACAUAAUUUUUUACUUAAAAUGAGUAAUGCACAUAUCCACAGAUGUAAAGGAGGGAACAUCCUGCCUUUCAGGGAAUCGUUAGAAUGUGUGGUGAGGUCUGUUUUCUGUGGUGAUGAAGCUCAGAAGAUAUCUGAGACAACCAGCCUCACUGACAAGAGCAAUGGCAGCAUUCACAAUCAAACUGGGUAACUUCUUCCAAGGAAACCAAUCUAUUAUUCAAUUACAUCACUGGUCAUUUAGCUGACGCUUUUAUCCAAAGCGACUUACAUUUGCAUUUUUAACCUGCGGCUUUAGGCCACUAAUUAGGGGUUGGGUGUCUUGCUCAAGGACACUUCGGCAUGGGACAUGGAGCAGCCAGGACUCAAACCCCCAACCUUGCGGUUCCCAGUGCACCCUCUCUACUCUACGCGCCACGGUCGACCCCCAAUCGAUUCAAUGAUGUCGGCAAGCCACUCCUUUCCUGCACACUCAAAUAUUUCUACUGAUAACAAACCGACAUUGUGACCAGUAUAUGUUUAACAUAAGAAAGCUGCAUCCAUUGCCUUGCAGGACAGUUGAUGUAGUGCGUUGCCAUGACCCAUGUGAAGAUGGCUGAAAAUAGGCCUUGCUCUGGCAAAACUCCUGCCUUUAUGAUGGAUAGUGCCGCUGUUUUCCUUCAACCUCUUUGGAAUACUAAAAAAACACAGGAUCAAGUAUCACUUGGUCCCUAAUGCAUGAAUGAACAUAGAGACAAAUGAGGAGAUUAGACGGAUGUUUUGACCUCGCAUUCCACUCAGGAGAAUUGAUUUAAAUGUGUUCUGUUAAUAUCCAGUUUGUUUGACCAGCUCAGCCCAUUUCAACGCAUAGUCAUAAUGCUAUUAAUGACUAGUUUAAAUAAAAAAACAUGGAUAAUGACAGUGGUGACACCCUCAACCUGACAAUGUUUAAAUUAAUUAAAUUAAUUUUAGCCUAAGGAGUUCCUACAAGCUGCACACUUUGUCAAUAUGAUGCAUUUCUUUGUGGUUGAACACAUUGGUAUGGACAAGCAGGUUGUCAGAAUAGGAAGAAAGCGAUCAAUGCAGGUCCUAGAAUUUCAGGUUGCUUGACCCAUAAAUGCUAGAGGAGACACAUACUAUAUAUUUUUUACGAGAGGUUGAAGGGAAAUCAAUAAUGUCUUUUUGGCUGAGUGCAGUGCUGUAGCCCAUAAGUUGAUCCUUACAAAAUGAAAAAAAAAGGACAGAUGCAAAAA
ensembl:lncRNA